UACAGAGGGUGCAAACGUUGCUCGGAAUCAUUGGGCGUAAAGCGCACGUAGGCGGCCCAGCAAGCGGGGAGUGAAAGCCCUAGGCUUAACCGAGGAAGUGCUUUCCGAACUACUGGGCUUGAAUACUGGAGAGGGUCGCGGAAUUCCCGGUGUAGAGGUGAAAUGCGUAGAGAUCGGGUGGAACACCGGUGGCGAAGGCGGCCCGCUGGGCAGGAAGGCUCGCAAGAGCCGGCUGACGCUGAGGCGCGACAGCGUGGGGAGCAAACAGG
rnacentral:rRNA from 1 species